CCAGUAGCUCAGAAUUUCAUCCAGAAUGACUAAGAGAUAAUGAUGAUCUAUACAUAUCUGAGAUUAGUAGUUUGUGUCCGUUUUGUAUGCAUUUAAAAAUAGAUGGUUAAGUAAUAGUAGGAGGUAGGCAGUAGUUAUAUUGUAUUUGUAUUUAUAUGCAUGAUUGUAGUAGUUGACCCAUGGGGACAAUCCCAAUUAAUAUUUUUUUUGCCCUUGGGUUCAAAGCCAAAAAUAUGCAGAUCUAGUAGAAAAGGGCCUUUAUAUAAUGAAUACUUUGUCAGGGUUUAAUUGCAAAACACCCCUAAACUAAAUUAACUCAACAUGGUCUGGUUCAGUCAAUUGUCAAAAAGACUUAAUUGAAUAUAGCCUUUAUCAAGGGCCUAAAUGCAAG
rnacentral:lncRNA from 1 species